rnacentral:lncRNA from 1 species
GAUACAACUACUGGUUUGAUCUCGGAGAAGCCCAACAUCACAAAGGAAGAUGCGGCCCAAUCCAGAGAAGGCCCCAUUACUGAUCAAAGGCCCAUUCGCAACAAGAAGAUACCAGAGCGCUUUCGAGACUUUGUCUUGGAGCAGACGAAGGAGCACCUAGCUUAGGGGACCACUUUUCUGUUAGGAUUAUCUUUCUGUUAUGCUUUCUGCAUGGUUUGUGUAGUGCCACUUUUGACAAGUACUCUUUAAAUAGCUGAGGAGAUGUACGUUGGUAAUCAAUGAAUGAAGUAGUCGUUUCUGAAUUUCCUUCUCUUUCUCUUAUUUGGAGUUUUGGCUCACUCGAAGUAGUCUAAUAUCUUAUCAUUGGUGCUUUCAUUGUUCUCACCUCCUCUCAUGGCAGGCUCCGACAUCCUCUCUGCCAUCCAAACCCUUCAAGCUCACCUGGAAAAUCAAAUCGCUGCCACCAACAACACCCUCACUAAAUUCAUGUCGGCUGUUGAGUCCCGCUUUGCCGAUCUCACCAUAUCCCCUCCUGUACCGCCACCUCCUCUGCCUCCCAGAGAUCCCAUCCCUUUUAGAUCUAUGAAGAUGGACGUCCCUAGCUUCGAUGGCUCCGAUCCCUCCGGCUGGAUUUUCCGUGUGGAGGAGUUCUUCGAUUUUCACCAAACCCCGGAAGAGCAGCGACUGCUUAUUGUUUCCUUCCAUAUGGAAGGCCCCGCCACUGCGUGGUUCCAGUGGAUGAAAGCUAAUCGCCUCCUCUCCACUUGGCCGGUUUUUCUUCACAGUGUCCGUCACCGAUUUGGCGCCUCCAUCUAUGAUGACCCGCAGGGCCGUCUGUCCAAACUCACUCAAACAUCCACCGUCGCAAAUUUUCAAGCAGCGUUCGAGGUCCUUAUGAACCAGGUCGUUGGCAUCUCUGAGCCCCUUCUUGUCAGUUUCUUUGUCACUGGCUUAAAGGCAGAUAUCCGAAGGGAGUUAUCCUUUUCGAAACCUGCUACACUCAUGGAAGCUUUUGCUUUAGCUCGAGCUUAUGAGGCGCGUCUGGAGGAAUCCCAUGCGGAGCACCGCUGGCCGUCGCGCACCCCGGUGAAGGCCACUCCGGUUUCCUUUGUUCCUCCUUCAUCUCCUUCGUCCUUAUCGAUUGGCAGCUCCUCUAUUCCGCCACCACCGCCACCAGCCAAACCCGCGAAGACUCCAUUGCUGCCAGCUCCGACCUUGCCCAUCCGUCGUUUUUCUUCUCAAGAACUCCGGGAGAAACGCGAGAAGGGUCUCUGCUAUAAUUGUGACCAAAAGUGGGCACCCAAUCAUCGUUGUCGGAGUCGCUUUUACGGCCUAUUGGGAACUGAUAAUGACAUAGACCAGGGCAAUCCCUCUUCGGAGGACAAUCCAUCAUCGGAGGAGCCUCCAGAUCCAACCAUCUGUGGGGAUAUCUCGACUCUUAACACCUCUCGGGGUUGGGGCGUCCCCGCUCUCUGCACCUAUCAGGAGCGAUACAUCGGCAAGCAGUCCGAGUGCUCGUGGACAGUGGGAGCACUCAUAAUUUCUUGCACCCCACUAUCGCCCAGCAACUGAAAUUAGACACACAGCCGGUUCCAUCAUUUCGUGUGUAUGUGGGAAAUGGAGAUUACAUUGUCUGUAAUCGAAUUUGUCCGGCGGUACCAAUCGAAAUGCAGGGGUAUGCGGCAUUGGUGGAUCUCCACCUCUUACCAAUCGUCGGACCAUCGGUCGUGCUCGGUAUUCAGUAGUUGCAAACAUUAAGUCCUGUCACUCACAAUUAUGCGACGCAAUCUAUUAUGUUCACCGUCGUCGGCGUCACAACGACGCUAGUUGGGGAUUCUGCGAUUGAGAUACAGUCGGUCACAUUUUCUCGUUUGCAGGCCCUAUUCCACAAAGGGGGCGUGGACUCAACAUGGGCUAUUUUUAUUGGGCUUGAUUCUUCUCUAAUUGGGCCUAUUUCUUUUAAUCAAUUCCUUAUUCCAGAAUCGGUUCCUACCGCCCUACACCAACUGCUCCAACAAUUCCGCCACCUCUUUUCGCCGCCCACCGGUCUCCCUUCUCACCGGAACAUUGAUCACCGAAUUCACCUUCAACAGAAUGCCGACCCAGUCAAUGUUCGUCCCUAUCGGUAUCCCCAAUUUCAGAAACAAGAAAUGGAGAAACUAGUUUCUGAGAUGCUAGCGCAGGGCAUCAUAUGACCCAGCCAAUCCCCAUUCUCAUCUCCGGUGUUGCUCGUCAGGAAGAAAGACGAGACGUUCCGAUUCUGCGUCGAUUACAGAGCACUAAACGCAGUCACGGUAAGGGAUAAUUUCCCAAUACCCACCAUUGAUGAACUUCUCGAUGACCUUGGCAAGGCGAGAGUGUUUACUAAACUCGAUUUACAUGCUGGAUAUCAUCAAAUCCGCAUCCAUCAGAGGGACAUCGCAAAGACGGCAUUUCGAACUACUGACGGCCAUUUUGAGUUCUUGGUUAUGCCCUUUGGGCUCUGUAAUGCCCCAUCUACAUUCCAAGCCACUAUGAAUCAGUUGUUCGCGCCGUUUCUCCACGACUUUGUGGUGGUUUUCUUCGACGAUAUCCUGGUCUACAGCCCUACCAUGGAAACUCACCUGGAGCACCUAAACCGUGUCUUCACUUGUUUGAGCCAACAAGAGUUUGUGCUCAAGGCAUCCAAAUGCGUCUUCGGGCAGUCGUCAGUGGCGUAUUUGGGCCAUAUCGUGUCAACGGGAGGCGUCCUUGCUGAUCCGGCGAAGAUCGAGGCCAUGAAAUCGUGGCCUACACCUCGCACGGUGAAGCAACUCCGCGGGUUCUUGGGACUCACGGGCUAUUACCAGAGAUUUGUCCGCCACUAUGCAGGUAUCGCCGCGCCCCUUACCGAUUUGCUUAAAACUGAUUCUUUUUGCUGGAGUUCGGAAGCACAGAGUGCCUUUGAGAAACUUAAAUUGGCCAUGACAACCACGCCGGUAUUAAGGUUGCCAGAUUUCAACACUGAGUUCGUGGUGGAAUCGGAUGCUUCCGAUGUGGGUAUUGGGGCUGUCUUGAUGCAGCAAGAGCAGCCCAUCGCCUACUUCAGUCGCAAGCUGAGUGCCAGGAUGCAAGCGGCGUCUACCUACACUAAGGAACUCCACGCCAUUGUGGAGUCGGUGCACAAAUGGCGACAAUACUUAUUGGGCAGAUUUUUCACCAUUAGAACAGACCAAAAGAGCAUUCGAGAGCUCCUUCAACAAACAAUUCAAACUCCAGAACAACAGAAGUAUGUCCGCAAAUUACUCGGCUUUCAUUUCCGCAUUGAUUAUCGCCCCGGGGCCUCAAAUUUGGCUGCGGAUGCUCUCUCUCGACGCCACAACAAGCAGAUUGAGGGAGUGGUGCUUGAUGGCGCUCUGGCACAAGUUUAUAUCGCUGAAAGUGUCCCAACAACAGAGCUUUUGGAACAGCUCCGGCAAGAGAACACGGUGUGCCCCGACCUCACAGAGCUCCAUCAAAAAUUCGUAGCACAUCAACUGAGCCCUGACUAUGCUGUGAUUGACGGCAUCCUUACCUUUCGGCGCCGCUAUUACAUCAGUGACUCGUCUCCCCUUAGGCGCCGUUUAUUGCUCGAAGCCCAUGCAACACCGAUGGCAGGUCAUGGCGGUGUGAAGCGUACUCUUGUUCGCCUCGCGACCACUUUUUAUUGGCCAAACAUGCACAAGGCAGUUAAAGAGUUCGUGGUUGCUUGCUUGGUGUGCCAACAAGUCAAGUAUUCGACACAACCGCCAGCCGGUCUUCUCCAACCCUUACCGGUGCCAGGUCGUGUCUGGGACACCGUCACAAUGGACUUCAUUACCAGGUUGCCGUUAAGCCGUGGGUAUUCAGUGAUCUUGGUUGUGGUAGAUCGUUUGACCAAGAGUGCCCAUUUCGGGGGUCUUCAGUCGACGUUCACGGCGGCGACUACAGCGGCCUUAUUUGCCGAUAUGGUGGUGCGCUUACAUGGAUUUCCGACUACCCUAAUCUCCGACCGCGAUCCGGUCUUCAUAAGCAACUUCUGGCAGCAUCUCUUUAAGCUCAGCGGUACCACGCUCCGGCAUAGUACCGCUUACCAUCCUCAAACGGACGGCCAAACAGAGGUGGUCAACCGCACCCUUGAACAGUACCUGCGAGCCUUCACCCUCAUGAAGCCGACGUCGUGGGCGUCCUACUUGGGAUGGGCAGAAUACUCGCAUAAUACCUCUUAUUGCAGCAGUAUCCGCAUGACACCUUUUGAAGCCCUUUAUGGCCGCAAACCGCAGAUAAUUCCUCCUUAUUCACCCGGCGCGACGUCCAUUCAAGCCUUGGAUGAUCUUCUACAGCAGCGGGAUGUCUUACUUAAUCAGUUGAAAGAGAUUCUCCAAUAAUCUCAAUUCCGCAUGAAGCAGCAAGCGGAUCGUCACCGACGCGAUCUUGAGUUUCGAAUUGAUGAUAUGGUAUUGGUUCGGCUGCAACCUUACCGCCAAACUUCGGUUAGAGGCCGACAAUCCCCCAAACUUGCUCAACGUUAUUAUGGGCCUUUUCGUGUUACGGAACGUAUUGGUAGCGUCGCAUAUCGCUUGGACCUCCCGCCGGCGAGCCGCAUUCAUCCUGUGUUCCAUGUCUCUAAGUUGAAGUUGUACAAGGAGAGUACUUCUACCCCACUGUGUGCACUGCCCGAGCUAGCACUUGAGUCAGCGCCAAUGCCGACUCCACUUGCCAUCUGCGGUGAAAGAGAAGUUCUUACUCCCUCCGGGCCACAGCGGCAGGUGCUAAUUCAGUGGAUUGGCAAGCCACCAGAGUGUUCAACGUGGGAGUCCAGGGAGAAGCUGCAGCAUUCAUUUCCAAACUUUAACCUUGAGGACAAGGUUAUUUUCGAAGGGGGGGAGAAUGAUACAACUACUGGUUUGAUCUCGGAGAAGCCCAACAUCACAAAGGAAGAUGCGGCCCAAUCCAGAGAAGGCCCCAUUACUGAUCAAAGGCCCAUUUGCAACAAGAAGAUACCAGAGCGCUUUCGAGACUUUGUCUUGGAGCAGACGAAGGAGCACCUAGCUUAGGGGACCACUUUUCUGUUAGGAUUAUCUUUCUGUUAUGCUUUCUGCAUGGUUUGUGUAGUGCCACUUUUGACAAGCACUCUUUAAAUAGCUGAGGAGAUGUACGUUGG